CCUCAUGUACAAUGUUAAAAACCUCCAUCCUUAGUUCAUCAGGCACUCUGUCUAUCAGGUUUAAUCCUUUGAAUCUAUUUGUCACUUCCACUGUAUAAUCAUAAGGGAUUUGAUUUAGGUCAUACUUGAAUGGACUAGUGGUUUUCCCUACUUUCUUCAACUUAAAUUUGAAUUUUACAAUAAGGUGUUCAUAAUCUCAGCCACAGUCAGCCUCAGGUCUUGUUUUUGCUAACUAUAUACAACUUUUCCAUAUUCAGC